rnacentral:rRNA from 1 species
CACGUAGUUAGCCGGUGCUUCUUCUCCAGGUACCGUCACAAAUACGCUUCGUCCCUAGCGAAAGGAGUUUACAACCCGAAGGCCGUCAUCCCCCACGCGGCGUCGCUGCAUCAGGCUUGCGCCCAUUGUGCAAUAUUCCCCACUGCUGCCUCCCGUAGGAGUCUGGGCCGUAUCUCAGUCCCAAUGUGGCCGUACACCCUCUCAGGCCGGCUACCCGUCGACGCCUUGGUAGGCCAUUACCCCCACCAACAAGCUGAUAGGCCGCGAGCUCAUCCCACACCGAAAAACUUUCCACAACGGCAUCCAAACCAUUGUCCUAUCCGGUAUUAGACCCAGUUUCCCAGGCUUAUCCCGAAGUGCAGGGCAGAUCACCCACGUGUUACUCACCCGUUCGCCACUCGAGUACCAGUGCAAGCACUGGCCUUUCCGUUCGACUUGCAUGUGUUAAGCACGCCGCCAGCGUUCAUCCUGAGCCAGGAUCAAACUCU